rnacentral:rRNA from 1 species
GAUGAACGCUGGCGGCGUGUCUAAUACAUGCCAGUCGAGCGAACGGACGAGAAGCUUGCUUCUCUGAUGUUAGCGGCGGACGGGUGAGUAACACGUGGAUAACCUACCUAUAAGACUGGGAUAACUUCGGGAAACCGGAGCUAAUACCGGAUGAUAUUUUGAACCGCAUGGUUCAAAAGUGAAAGACGGUCUUGCUGUCACUUAUAGAUGGAUCCGCGCUGCAUUAGCUAGUUGGUAAGGUAACGGCUUACCAAGGCAACGAUGCAUAGCCGACCUGAGAGGGUGAUCGGCCACACUGGAACUGAGACACGGUCCAGACUCCUACGGGAGGCAGCAGUAGGGAAUCUUCCGCAAUGGGCGAAGGCCUGACGGAGCAACGCCGCGUGAGUGAUGAAGGUCUUCGGAUCGUAAAACUCUGUUAUUAGGGAAGAACAUAUGUGUAAGUAACUGUGCACAUCUUGACGGUACCUAAUCAGAAAGCCACGGCUAACUACGUG